rnacentral:rRNA from 1 species
GUACACUCCUGCGGGAGGCAGCAGUGGGGAAUUUUGGACAAUGGGCGAAAGCCUGAUCCAGCCAUGCCGCGUGCAGGAUGAAGGCCUUCGGGUUGUAAACUGCUUUUGUACGGAACGAAACGGCCUUUUCUAAUAAAGAGGGCUAAUGACGGUACCGUAAGAAUAAGCACCGGCUAACUACGUGCCAGCAGCCGCGGUAAUACGUAGGGUGCAAGCGUUAAUCGGAAUUACUGGGCGUAAAGCGUGCGCAGGCGGUUAUGUAAGACAGUUGUGAAAUCCCCGGGCUCAACCUGGGAACUGCAUCUGUGACUGCAUAGCUAGAGUACGGUAGAGGGGGAUGGAAUUCCGCGUGUAGCAGUGAAAUGCGUAGAUAUGCGGAGGAACACCGAUGGCGAAGGCAAUCCCCUGGACCUGUACUGACGCUCAUGCACGAAAGCGUGGGGAGCAAACAGGAUUAGAUACCCGGGUAGUCCCA